UACGGAAGGCAGCAGUGGGGAAUAUUGCACAAUGGGCGCAAGCCUGAUGCAGCCAUGCCGCGUGUAUGAAGAAGGCCUUCGGGUUGUAAAGUACUUUCAGUCGUGAGGAAGGUGUUAAGGUUAAUAACCUUAGCAAUUGACGUUAGCGACAGAAGAAGCACCGGCUAACUCCGUGCCAGCAGCCGCGGUAAUACGGAGGGUGCGAGCGUUAAUCGGAAUUACUGGGCGUAAAGGGCACGCAGGCGGUUAAUAAGUUGGAUGUGAAAUCCCCGGGCUUAACCUGGGAAUGGCAUUCAAGACUGGUUAGCUAGAGUCUUGUAGAGGGGGUAGAAUUCCAUGUGUAGCGGUGAAAUGCGUAGAGAUGUGGAGGAAUACCGGUGGCGAAGGCGGCCCCUGGGACAAAGGCUGACGCUCAUGUGCGAAAGCGUGGGGAGCAAACGAGGAUUAGAU
rnacentral:rRNA from 1 species